GAUGAACGCUAGCUACAGGCUUAACACAUGCAAGUCGAGGGGUAACGAGAGGAAAGCUUGCUUUCCUUGUCGACGACCGGCGCACGGGUGAGUAACGCGUAUCCAACCUGCCCCCAACUAGGGAAUAACCUUGCGAAAGUAAGACUAAUACCCUAUAAUUUCCUCAGAUGUCAUCUGACGAGGAAUAAAGAUUUAUCGGUUGUGGAUGGGGAUGCGUCUGAUUAGCUUGUUGGCGGGGUAACGGCCCACCAAGGCAACGAUUAGUAGGGGUUCUGGGAGGAAGGUCCCCCACAUUGGAACUGAGACACGGUCCAAACUCCUACGGGAGGCAGCAGUGAGGAAUAUUGGUCAAUGGGCGGAAGCCUGAACCAGCCAAGUAGCGUGCAGGAUGACGGCCCUAUGGGUUGUAAACUGCUUUUAUACAGGAAUAAAGUUAACCACGUGUGGUUAUUUGUAGGUACUGUAUGAAUAAGGACCGGCUAAUUCCGUGCCAGCAGCCGCGGUAA
rnacentral:rRNA from 1 species